UCUCAUCUCCUUUGUAUUGCAGCGUUCCACAUCCCUUCCUCUUCCACCCCCAAAUUGUGGCAAUUGAAGAAUACCACUCUGCUCGGAGAUCCAUGUUAGGAAAAACGCAUCAAUCCAGAAGACUGAUAUUUUCCCCUAUGCUCCCAAUAAAAGAGUACUGGCCUAGCUGCACCAAUAAUCAGUAGAGAAUGGCUGAGAACACCAUAAGACUAACAGGAAUUUUCCCCUAUCUAUUAAAUCUUGCUAACAAGGAUUAAUGAAGAGGAGAUGGGAGUUUUUGUUACAAGAACUGAGGCCUGGCAGAUGGAUUACGUUUACAUUCUGUAAAACAGGAACUGAAGGAGGAACUUUGCAGCACUGUGUUUAUCGCGGUAUAAUAAAUCAGUACUUGAGGGUCUCACAUGCUCACUAGACAGUAAUAAUAAAAGU